AGCCACCUUCGGGUGGUGGACAGUGGCAGACGGGUGAGUAACGCGUGGGAACGUGCCUUUCGGUUCGGAAUAACCCAGGGAAACUUGGGCUAAUACCGGAUACGCCCUUCGGGGGAAAGAUUCAUUGCCGAAGGAUCGGCCCGCGUCGGAUUAGCUAGUUGGUGGGGUAAUGGCUCACCAAGGCGACGAUCCGUAGCUGGUCUGAGAGGAUGACCAGCCACAUUGGGACUGAGACACGGCCCAGACUCCUACGGGAGGCAGCAGUGGGGAAUAUUGGACAAUGGGCGCAAGCCUGAUCCAGCCAUGCCGCGUGGGUGAAGAAGGCCUUAGGG
rnacentral:rRNA from 1 species